UGGGAACCUUCCCUAUGGUUCGGAAUAGCUCAGGGAAACUUGGGGUAAUACCGGAUAAGCCCUUCGGGGGAAAGAUUUAUCGCCAUUGGGUGGGCCCGCGUCGGAUUAGCUAGUUGGUGAGGUAACGGCUCACCAAGGCAACGAUCCGUAGCUGGUCUGAGAGGAUGAUCAGCCAUACUGGGACUGAGACACGGCCCAGACUCCUACGGGGGGCAG
rnacentral:rRNA from 1 species